UGACAAAUAACGAAUAAAGCAGAUUGA
rnacentral:sRNA from 1 species